GACGAACGCUGGCGGCGUGCUUAACACAUGCAAGUCGAACGGAAAGGCCCUGCUUUUGUGGGGUGCCCGAGUGCCGAAUGGGUGAGUAACACGUGAGCAACCUACCCUUGUUUUUGGGAGAACUUCAGGUAAUUGGGGUUAUUACCGUAUAGGACCUCCUCCUGGAGGGUGGGGGUUGGAUAGUUCGGGCGUGUGGGGAUGGACUCGCGGCUUACCAGCUUGUUGGUGGGUGAGUGGCUUACCAAGGCAUGGACGGCUAGCCGGCCUGGGAGGGGGACCGGCCACAUUGGGCCUGAGAUAGGGCCCAGAGUCCAACGGGGGGCAGCGGGGGGAAAUAUGGCACAAGGGGCCGAAGCCGGUGGAGGCAACCCCGGGUGCGGAAUGACGGCCUUCGGGUUGUAAACCGCUUUAGCCUGUGACGAAGCGUGUGUGACGGUAAUGGGUGAAGAAGCACCGGCUAACUACGUG
rnacentral:rRNA from 1 species